AGAGUUUGACCCUGGCUCAGAGCGAACGCUGGCGGCAGGCUUAACACAUGCAAGUCGAGCGGGCAUAGCAAUAUGUCAGCGGCAGACGGGUGAGUAACGCGUGGGAACAUACCUUUUGGUUCGGAACAACACAGGGAAACUUGUGCUAAUACCGGAUAAGCCCUUACGGGGAAAGAUUUAUCGCCGAAAGAUUGGCCCGCGUCUGAUUAGCUAGUUGGUGAGGUAACGGCUCACCAAGGCGACGAUCAGUAGCUGGUCUGAGAGGAUGAUCAGCCACAUUGGGACUGAGACACGGCCCAAACUCCUACGGGAGGCAGCAGUGGGGAAUAUUGGACAAUGGGCGCAAGCCUGAUCCAGCCAUGCCGCGUGAGUGAUGAAGGCCCUAGGGUUGUAAAGCUCUUUUGUGCGGGAAGAUAAUGACGGUACCGCAAGAAUAAGCCCCGGCUAACUUCGUGCCAGCAGCCGCGGUAAUACGAAGGGGGCUAGCGUUGCUCGGAAUCACUGGGCGUAAAGGGUGCGUAGGCGGGUCUUUAAGUCAGGGGUGAAAUCCUGGAGCUCAACUCCAGAACUGCCUUUGAUACUGAGGAUCUUGAGUUCGGGAGAGGUGAGUGGAACUGCGAGUGUAGAGGUGAAAUUCGUAGAUAUUCGCAAGAACACCAGUGGCGAAGGCGGCUCACUGGCCCGAUACUGACGCUGAGGCACGAAAGCGUGGGGAGCAAACAGGAUUAGAUACCCUGGUAGUCCACGCCGUGAACGAUGAAUGCCAGCCGUUAGUGGGUUUACUCACUAGUGGCGCAGCUAACGCUUUAAGCAUUCCGCCUGGGGAGUACGGUCGCAAGAUUAAAACUCAAAGGAAUUGACGGGGGCCCGCACAAGCGGUGGAGCAUGUGGUUUAAUUCGACGCAACGCGCAGAACCUUACCAGCCCUUGACAUCCCGGUCGCGGACUCCAGAGAUGGAGUCCUUCGGUUCGGCUGGACCGGAGACAGGUGCUGCAUGGCCGUCGUCAGCUCGUGUCGUGAGAUGUUGGGUUAAGUCCCGCAACGAGCGCAACCCCCGUCCUUAGUUGCUACCAUUUAGUUGAGCACUCUAAGGAGACUGCCGGUGAUAAGCCGCGAGGAAGGUGGGGAUGACGUCAAGUCCUCAUGGCCCUUACGGGCUGGGCUACACACGUGCUACAAUGGCGGUGACAAUGGGACGCUAAGGGGCAACCCUUCGCAAAUCUCAAAAAGCCGUCUCAGUUCGGAUUGGGCUCUGCAACUCGAGCCCAUAAAGUUGGAAUCGCUAGUAAUCGUGGAUCAGCAUGCCACGGUGAAUACGUUCCCGGGCCUUGUACACACCGCCCGUCACACCAUGGGAGUUGGUUUUACCUGAAGACGGUGCGCUAACCCGCAAGGGAGGCAGCCGGCCACGGUAGGGUCAGCGACUGGGGUGAAGUCGUAACAAGGUA
rnacentral:rRNA from 1 species